rnacentral:lncRNA from 1 species
CUUAGAUUCUGUUACCUUUGCGUGUUUAUUCUCUUGAAGGUUAAUGUCAAUUUUGGUAGUCAGGCAUAUAAAGUAUAAAAACUUACCCUAACACAUUCCUAAUACAAUUCACCAGGCCUCACAAACCUUUUUUUUUUUUAAUCAUAAGAUUUCAACGUUCAAGAAUUAAACUUUUGUUCCGUUUUGCUUGUUCAUUGCUGUUUGCCUAGUUAUUUAAUCAGCCUGUUUCCUGCUAUGAAAAAAAAAAAAAAAGUGAAAGAAGUUGAAGUUUCCUCAGGGCUAAACUCCUGUGUUGUUCUUCCUCCCAGAGAUCCAAGUUAUUAUAUAGCAGGGGAUAAACGUUGCAUAACGAAAUCAUUGGGACAAUUCUCCAUCCACUCCUACCUCCGUCGCUAACAAUGAAUUCCUUGUCUCUGUGGUGUCCAACUCUUUCUCUACCCCGCUCAGCGCCCAGCGGCUGACGGAGCCGUGGGAGAGUCUGGCAACAGAGCGUCGCGCUUCUCCCGCCGGCAGCGCGCGGGGUGGGGUGCGUGGAGUGUGCGCGGAGUGGGCGCGCCGGGCGUUCCGCGCGUCGGCUGACGCUCGCCGCGCGAGCACCAGGAGGGGGAGACUCGGACCCGCUUAUCUCCCGCUGUGCUAACUUCAAACUGCCCGAGCUGGCGGAGUUGAGAUCUCGCGGCCAGGGCGAGAAAACUUCUCCUCCACCUAGAAAGUUUCACCUUGGCGGGGGCGGGGGAGGGGUGGGAGGAAACGCGACCCCCGCGGGGCCAGGCGCGGCGCGCGGGCGGCAGGAAGGGCGGGGGCCGAUUUCCCCCUCUGGGUGGUGCCAGUCCCCACCUCAGCGGUCCUAGGACCGGCGGACCGGGCGGACGACCCCGCUCGAGGUAGACGGACACGUGCUGGGGCGGGCAGGCGGGCGAGCGCUUGGGUCGGGUCGCCUGCCCGUGCUUCCCGCCGGGACGCGCCCGGGGCCGCCGCGGGCCGCGCGCGCCACUGCCCGGCUGAGUCACCGGCUCGGUUGCGCGCGGCGUCCCGAGCGCUUUGUGACCAGAUGCGGAACCCAGCGGAGGGCGCCAGCCAGAUGCGGGGCGACAGCUGACCUGCAGCCGGGAGGCGCGGAGCACGCGGGUGGUCUCUGUGCGACUGACUUCUCCACGGUUCUUGGACGCCUCGAGGUAAAGCUACAGCCCACUCCAGACCCCGCACCCCACCCCUCGGCCCCAGCGUUCUGCUCUUUGUUCCCCUUAAGAGACCUGAGUGCUGUUCCACGGGGCAAGACCAGGGAGGUGAGCAAGAGUUUAGGGGUUUCAGAAACUGAAGGGACGUGGCGGGGUAGAGGUGUAAAGUAGAGUGGAGCUUUUCGUUUUAAGGGGUUGUUUCUGACGGCCACCUGUAUGACUCAGGGGAGAGAGGGGCGCUGGAGUAAGGGGUGAUGUAUGACUGUUAUGGCCGGGCAAGUUUCAAGGCGGUGAUCUGACUCAGCCCUUAGAAAAGAGAUUUGGUCACCAUGUCCCAGAGUGAUGUAGCAGGCAAGAUUCGACCCAAGCGCUUUUCUUGUUCCCAGCCCUGCUUUAUCUAUAACGCUUGAGGAUCCUUUCAAGGGGCAGGUGUGUUUGUGAAAAUCUGAAUUCUUCAUUUCUGGCAAACACAUAGGGCUUGUGAUCCAUCAUUUUCAAUCGUACCUUACUUAUGUCUUUGCCGGGGCUAUAUGGAGGGCAUCUAUCUUAUUCGGGGAAAUAGAUUAUACCGGAGGUCGGGCAGUCUAGCUAGUACUGGUACUGAUCCAAUAAUUUAAGUUCCAAUGAAAGUAUUUUCACCGACUAUGGAUUGGUUUCCCAUUUCAUACCUUCUAUGUUUUAAAAGGGCCAUUUACUAAUUUGGCAGUUGGAGAGAGUUCCAGUGGCUCACGCAUGAAUAGUUGCCCAGUGUAUUUUACCUUAUCACAGUUUUAUGUUCAAAGGAGCUCUAGGGCUGAAUGAAAUAUUGUCAGCCCUCUUAAGCAACAUAAUCAGGAUACUGUAAUUGUCAGGUUAAGAUGGGCGAUGAACGUGAGAGGAUUGUAAAAACUCACAUUGCAGAGAAUAUAGACUAUAUGGACCCUCUACUGAAUUUUAAGAAGACUUUCACAUUUUGUAGAGUUGGGUGGUUUAUUCUGCCGUUUUCAUCAGCCAGACACAUGGACAUUGCCAUGCAAAUGGAUCCAGAAAAACAUUAUUUUCCUUUAUAGCUGAACUAUUAUAGCUGACUAAUGCAUUUUUUCUGCAUGAAGAUGGUCUGAAAAUGCUGUACAUCAUGUUUCUCUGUGCUACUGGGACAUAAAUUGUGUUUUUAUGUAAACUGUUAAGUGGUGCUUGGAUUACUUACAUGUAUGUAGCUUUCCUUUCGAGUUCUAAGCAUAUUGGGAUUUGUUUUCACAUGUAAACUUCUGUAAUAGAACAGAAGUAAGGUGCUGUGGCUCCACUCAUACACUGCAAGACUGUGGCGUAUUCAAAGUUCAUUCUUUUUAAACUGCUGAAUAAUACCAGUAACAUUUAUAUUACUCCUAAGACAUUUUUGUAGUGUAGGCACAAAAAUGUGUCUUGAGUGCCUAUAAAAUACACUGGUGUUUUGGAAAAUCUGUUCAAGUCUCAAACUUAAUGGUGCAUAAGUCUAUAAUUAUUAACCUAAAUAUGUUUUGAUUUUAACAUGAUGGACUGUAUGGCAUAUAAAAGAUGAUCUGCUGAGUAUUACUUUUUCAAAGAUUGCUUUGUUCUUAAUACAUCACAGGAGGGGUUUACAUUAUAUAUACACUCCAUGCCUUCAGAAUUAAUGGGUGAGGUUUAUUUGAAUGCUAAAGAUAUACAAGAUUAACCGUAGCCAGUCAGUAUGAAAGCUGGUAAUAUUUUCAUGACUUUUAAAAUUACAAUAAAAGGAAAUUGACCCUUUUCUAAGCA